UACAGAGGUCUCAAGCGUUGUUCGGAUUCAUUGGGCGUAAAGGGUGCGUAGGUGGCAAAGUAAGUUGGAUGUGAAAUCCUGGGGCUUAACCUCAGAAUUGCAUUCAAUACUGCUUAGCUAGAGAGCUGUAGAGGAGACUGGAAUUUACGGUGUAGCAGUGAAAUGCGUAGAUAUCGUAAGGAACGCCAGUGGCGAAGGCGAGUCUCUGGGCAGCAUCUGACACUGAGGCACGAAGGCCAGGGGAGCAAACGGG
rnacentral:rRNA from 1 species